UGGCUGGCUUACCUUUUCCCGUAGAUGCCAGCCAUCUUGGUAAAUGUACAUCCCCCACAUAGACCCAUGUCCCCCAGUCGACUGCAAACAUGAACCACUUUGCUACUAGCUAAAAGGAACUGACUACAACUUUGAAAAAGUUCCUAUGUGGGGGUGAGGGGGGAAAGAAAAAUGCGGAGGAAGUGUUUCGGGAAUACCGUGUUUCUGCCGAAGUCUUUGCCGGUCGUGGACCGGGUGUCCGAGGAAUUCCCUCAUGACAACGAAGCCGAGGGUGUCGCAAAUGGGAUAGCGAGAGAAAAAGAGAGAGAGCAGCUGAAAGGAAAUAGCGAUGAGAGACGAGGAAGAGAGAGAAGAACUGAGUAAUGCGAUAGAGGAGGAAAAGAGAGGUGUGUUAUAGCACCACACAAUUUUG